rnacentral:rRNA from 1 species
AAGCGCCCCGCCUGGGGAGUACGAUCGCAAGAUUAAAACUCAAAGGAAUUGACGGGGCCCCGCACAAGCAGCGGAGCAUGCGGCUUAAUUCGACGCAACGCGAAGAACCUUACCAAGGCUUGACAUAUACAGGAAUACGGCAGAGAUGUCGUAGCCGCAAGGUCUGUAUACAGGUGGUGCAUGGUUGUCGUCAGCUCGAGUCGUGAGAUGUUGGGUUAAGUCCCGCAACGUGCGCAACCCUCGUUCUGUGUUGCCAGCAUUUAGUUGGGGACUCACAGGAGACUGCCGGGGUUAACUCGGAGGAAGGUGGGGAUGACGUCAAAUCAUCAUGCCCCUUAUGUCUUGGGCUGCACGCAUGCUACAAUGGCUGGUACAAACGGCUGCGAUACCGCAAGGUGGAGCGAAUCCGAGAAAGCCAGUCUCAGUUCGGAUUGGGGUCUGCAACUCGACCCCAUGAAGUCGGAGUUGCUAGUAAUCGUAGAUCAGCAACGCUACGGUGAAUACGUUCCCGGGGCUUGUACACACCGCCCGUCACAUCACGAAAGUCGGUAACACCCAAAGUCAGUGCCCAACCGCAAGGAGGGAGCUGCCAAAGGU